rnacentral:rRNA from 1 species
AGACACGGCCCAGACUCCUACGGGAGGCAGCAGUGGGGAAUAUUGCACAAUGGGGGAAACCCUGAUGCAGCGACGCCGCGUGGAGGAAGAAGGUCUUCGGAUUGUAAACUCCUGUUGUUGAGGAAGAUAAUGACGGUACUCAACAAGGAAGUGACGGCUAACUACGUGCCAGCAGCCGCGGUAAAACGUAGGUCACAAGCGUUGUCCGGAAUUACUGGGUGUAAAGGGAGCGCAGGCGGGAAGACAAGUUGGAAGUGAAAUCCAUGGGCUCAACCCAUGAACUGCUUUCAAAACUGUUUUUCUUGAGUAGUGCAGAGGUAGGCGGAAUUCCCGGUGUAGCGGUAGAAUGCGUAGAUAUCGGGAGGAACACCAGUGGCGAAGGCGGCCUACUGGGCACCAACUGACGCUGAGGCUCGAAAGUGUGGGUAGCAAACAGGAUUGGAUACCCUGGUAGUCCACACUGUAAACGAUAAUUACUAGGUGUUGGAGGAUUGACCCCUUCAGCGCCGCAGUUAACACAAUAAGUAAUCCACCUGGGGAGUACGACCGCAAGGUUGAAACUCAAAGGAAUUGACGGGGGCCCGCACAAGCAGUGGAGUAUGUGGUUUAAUUCGACGCAACGCGAAGAACCUUACCAAGUCUUGACAUCCUGCGACGCACAUAGAAAUAUGUGUUUCCUUCGGGACGCAGAGACAGGUGGUGCAUGGUUGUCGUCAGCUCGUGUCGUGAGAUGUUGGGUUAAGUCCCGCAACGAGCGCAACCCUUAUGGUCAGUUACUACGCAAGAGGACUCUGGCCAGACUGCCGUUGACAAAACGGAGGAAGGUGGGGAUGACGUCAAAUCAUCAUGCCCUUUAUGACUUGGGCUACACACGUACUACAAUGGCGUUAAACAAAGAGAAGCAAGACCGCGAGGUGGAGCAAAACUCAGAAACAACGUCCCAGUUCGGACUGCAGGCUGCAACUCGCCUGCACGAAGUCGGAAUUGCUAGUAAUCGCAGAUCAGCAUGCUGCGGUGAAUACGUUCCCGGGCCUUGUACACACCGCCCGUCACACCAUGAGAGCCGGGGGGACCCGAAGUCGGUAGUCUAACCGCAAGGAGGACGCCGCCGAAGGUAAAACUGGUGAUUGGGGUGAAGUCGUAACAAGGUAG